rnacentral:tRNA from 2 species
AGGUGGCUAGUCUAAAAAAAACAUUUGAUUUCGGCUCAAAAACUUGUGGUUAAAGUCCGCAGCUACCUA